AUUGAACGCUGGCGGCAGGCCUAACACAUGCAAGUCGAACGGUAACAGGAAGCAGCUUGCUGCUUUGCUGACGAGUGGCGGACGGGUGAGUAAUGUCUGGGAAACUGCCUGAUGGAGGGGGAUAACUACUGGAAACGGUAGCUAAUACCGCAUAACGUCGCAAGACCAAAGAGGGGGACCUUCGGGCCUCUUGCCAUCGGAUUUGCCCAGAUUGGAUUAGCUAGUAGGUGGGGUAAAGGCUCACCUAGGCGACGAUCCCUAGCUGGUCUGAGAGGAUGACCAGCCACACUGGAACUGAGACACGGUCCAGACUCCUACGGGAGGCAGCAGUGGGGAAUAUUGCACAAUGGGCGCAAGCCUGAUGCAGCCAUGCCGCGUGUAUGAAGAAGGCCUUCGGGUUGUAAAGUACUUUCAGCGGGGAGGAAGGGAGUAAAGUUAAUACCUUUGCUCAUUGACGUUACCCGCAGAAGAAGCACCGGCUAACUCCGUG
rnacentral:rRNA from 1 species